CCCACACAGGAGAGCGUCCCUGUGACAACUGCUGUGCAUCCUUUUCACACAAGCCCCACCUCACUCGCCACAUCUCAAGGCGUCAUCCAAGGAAGACGCCCUGAAGGUUCCCUCUCUUCGGCAUCCUUGGAGCAGUACCAUUCUCUUGUGUCCGUACAAGGCCGACUGCAUUCCUGUCGGCAGUAACCUGUGUGACCAAGAACAGUGGACAUGUGAAAAUGCACCUUCGCAGAUGCAUGGGCGAGCGCCCUGUCGAGUGCCACCUGUGUCUGGCUACGUUCACUCGUGACUGUGAUCUCAAAAGCCACAUUACCACCCACAUGGUUGAGGGUCCCUUUUCCUGUGUUCACUGCAAUGCAUGCUUUGUGCAGAAAAGUGCACUAAAAGUCCACAUGUGUCAUCAUCAUGCAGAGAAGCCCUGAAGGUCUGGAAUAUGGACAAUAUUUUGUGUGUGUGGGUGAAAUAGCGGAUUCAUUGAUUGAUUACAUUUUUACAGCGAAUGAUAACUUCUAAAGUGCAUCAAAGGGUUUUUGGAUGUUUCAGGAAUGGCGUUUCUUACAGGGUAUUGUCUAGUGAGAAAUCUAUUGUUAAUUAAAAUUUCUCCAUGAGGGCCUUCAAAUGACUUUACAGCUAUGUCAUAAUGUUGAAUGUUUGCCUUACCUUCAAUGUGGAUUGUCUAAAAGUGCAUUUAUUACAGUGUAGCUUGCUUGAAGCCACAACAUUUAUAGGUAGUUAACAAGGAGACUUAAGAUAUACAUAUAUGUGCAAAUAAGGCCAGAGCACACUUUUCACACUCUUGAAAUUAGAUCAUCAGACUGCACAUUCAAACUUAAGUUAGGUCCUUUGUUGUCAGGAGCAGAAGCAGUGGCAUUCCCACUGAGCUACUUCCCCUAAUAGAACUUCACAAUCCAUAGAACAUGGUAUUUCUGAAUAAAACUUCUUGAUUCCCAAAGCAAA
rnacentral:lncRNA from 1 species